rnacentral:misc_RNA from 1 species
GAACUGCGAUAAGUAAUGUGAAUUGCAGAAUUCUGUGAAUCAUCGAGUCUUUGAACGCACAUUGCGCCCCCUGGCAUUCCGGGGGGCAUGCCUGUCCGAGCGUCAUUGCUGCCCUUCAAGCCCGGCUUGUGUGUUGGGUCGUCGUCCCCUCCGGGGGACGGGCCCGAAAGGCAGCGGCGGCACCGCGUCCGGUCCUCGAGCGUAUGGGGCUUUGUCACCCGCUCGAUAAGGACCGGCCGGGCGCCAGCCGGCGUCUCCAACCUUUUUUUCUCAGGUUGACCUCGGAUCAGGUAGGGAUACCCGCUGAACUUAAGC